CCCUACGGGGCGCAGCAGUGGGGAAUAUUGCACAAUGGGGGAAACCCUGAUGCAGCGACGCCGCGUGAGCGAUGAAGUAUUUCGGUAUGUAAAGCUCUAUCAGCAGGGAAGAAAAUGACGGUACCUGACUAAGAAGCCCUGGCUAACUACGUGCCAGCAGCCGCGGUAACACGUAGGGGGCAAGCGUUAUCCGGAUUUACUGGGUGUAAAGGGAGCGUAGACGGCGAUGCAAGCCAGAUGUGAAAGCCCGGGGCUCAACCCCGGGACUGCAUUUGGAACUGUGUGGCUGGAGUGUCGGAGAGGCG
rnacentral:rRNA from 1 species